UUUCCAGACUCCUACGGGAGGCAGCAGUGGGGAAUAUUGGGCAAUGGAGGAAACUCUUACCCAGCAAUGCCGCGUGAAUGAAGAAGGUCUUCGGAUUGUAAAGUUCUUUAAUUGGGGACGAAAAAAAUGACGGUACCCAAGGAAUAAGCCCCGGCUAACUACGUGCCAGCAGCCGCGGUAAUACGUAGGUGGCAAGCGUUAUCCGGAUUUAUUGGGUGUAAAGGGCGUGUAGGCGGGAAUGCAAGUCAGAUGUGAAAACUAUGGGCUCAACCCAUAGCCUGCAUUUGAAACUGUAUUUCUUGAGUGCUGGAGAGGCAAUCGGAAUUCCGUGUGUAGCGGUGAAAUGCGUAGAUAUACGGAGGAACACCAGUGGCGAAGGCGGAUUGCUGGACAGUAACUGACGCUGAGGCGCGAAAGCGUGGGGAGCAAACAGGAUUAGAUACCCUCGUAAG
rnacentral:rRNA from 1 species